rnacentral:rRNA from 1 species
UGGGGAAUUUUGCACAAUGGGGGAAACCCUGAUGCAGCGACGCCGCGUGAUUUAGAAGGCCUUCGGGUUGUAAAAAUCUUUUCUAUGGGAAGAAAAUGACAGUACCAUAGGAAUAAGGACCGGCUAAUUACGUGCCAGCAGCCGCGGGAAUACGUAAGGUCCGAGCGUUUCCCGGAAUCAUUGGGCGUAAAGGGUACGUAGGCGGGUUAGCAAGUUAGAAGUGAAAUCCUAUAGCUCAACUAUAGUAAGCUUUUAAACCUGCUCAUCUUGAGGUAUGGAAGGGAAAGUGGAAUUCCUAGUGUAGCGGUGAAAUGCGCAGAUAUUAGGAAGAAUACCGGUGGCGAAGGCGACUUUCUGGCCAUAACCUGACGCUGAGGUACGAAAGCGUGGGUAGCAAACAGG